rnacentral:rRNA from 1 species
CUUGACAAACUUAUAAGAGGUCCAGCCUGCCCAGUGACUCUGUUCAACGGCCGCGGUAUCCUAACCGUGCGAAGGUAGCGUAAUCACUUGUUCUUUAAAUGAGGACUAGUAUGAAUGGCACCACGAAGGUUAUACUGUCUCCUUUUUCUAAUCAGUGAAACUAAUCUUCCCGUGAAGAAACGGGAAUAAAAAUAUAAGACGAGAAGACCCUAUGGAGCUUUAAACAAAUAUACACCUGCCUCUUUACCAAAAAUUUCAGAAGACAAGUAAUUACUCGGGCAUUUUGAUAUAGCGUUUUAGGUUGGGGUGACCACGGAGCAAAAAACAACCUCCGCAGCGAACGGGAAUAUUCCCUUAACCAAGGGCCACAACCCCAAGUAUUGAUAAAUCAACACUAAUUGACCCAAUAAAUUUGACCAAUGAAC